rnacentral:lncRNA from 1 species
AAUAAAAUAAAAAAUUAAUAAGGUUAUAACUAUAAUAGUGUAGAUACGUCAUCCUUUUGAGAAAAUCUUUUAAAUGGUGAAGAUCUUCUUUAAUUGUGGAGAUGAUUUAUGGAAGAAUUAAGGAAGAUUAUGGCAGGUUUGGGAAACGAUUAAUUGUCUCCCAUAUCUUCAUAAAUGCGUGAGAUUUAAGCUCUUAUUAAGCCAUGAAAUUUAGUUUCCC